UCCCGCAAUCCAUGAACCAGUUUAGUAGCCCUUCUCUGAACCCUCUCUAAGGUAUCAAUAUCCUACUGAAGAUACGGUCUCCAGUACUGCACACAAUACUCCAAGAUUUCUUUUGUAGAUUAAUCUUCUAUAAUUUGAAAAAUGUUCCCAGAUCAAAGUGGGUCUAUCACCAGCUAUUUCGUUGCAUAAAUCAAUUUGAAACAACACUACCAUGAUGACAAACUCUAAGCUUAGGAUCAAAGUUUAAGAUUAGGUGUGAUUUGAU